UGGUGGAGUGAUUUGUCUGGUUAAUUCCGUUAACGAACGAGACCUCGACCUGCUAAAUAGUUGGGUUCAUCUUUCGAUGGGUCAGGUGUGCGUUGCCCCGCCUCGUGCGGCGGCGGCGCGCUCCGACACCGACUUCUUAGAGGGACUAUCGGUGCUUAGCCGGUGGAAGUUCGAGGCAAUAACA
rnacentral:rRNA from 1 species